GCGCCGAAGCGGGGGUACCGGCGUCGCCGGUUGAGACAGUCCCUUCGAACCUGAUCCGGCUCAUACCGGCGUAGGGAAGCUUCGCAGGACCCGCU
rnacentral:ncRNA from 2 species